CAUUAAUUAACUCCUGAUCCUUUACCAAGGAAAUUGGCUUCCAAUAUAUCUCACAACACUUAUUUACUGCUGACUGAUAAGACUGCAGAACAAUGGAUUCAAUCAGCGCUACUCUGAUGUGAACAGAACUCUGAAGGAGGAAGAGCAGGAAGAGAAGGAGGAGGAGGAGGAGGACGGGGGACAGAUGCUCUAAAAAACAAGCCAGCAAAACACAGUGAAGACGGUGGAAAGAGGAUGUCAAAAAAAAAACUCUGAGGGUCAAUCC
rnacentral:lncRNA from 1 species